rnacentral:rRNA from 1 species
GACGAACGCUGGCGGCGUGCUUAACACAUGCAAGUCGAACGGAGACAUUUUUGUAGUAAUACGAGAAUGUUUUAGUGGCGGACGGGUGAGUAACGCGUGAGCAAUCUGCCUAGAAGAGGGGGAUAACACAGGGAAACCUGUGCUAAUACCGCAUAAAGUAUCGAGGAGACAUCUUUUUGAUACCAAAGGAGCAAUCCGCUUUUAGAUGAGCUCGCGUCCGAUUAGCUAGUUGGCGGGAUAAAAGCCCACCAAGGCGACGAUCGGUAGCCGGACUGAGAGGUUGGCCGGCCACAUUGGGACUGAGACACGGCCCAGACUCCUACGGGAGGCAGCAGUGGGGAAUAUUGCGCAAUGGGGGAAACCCUGACGCAGCAACGCCGCGUGGAGGAAGAAGGUUCUCGGAUUGUAAACUCCUGUCAUGCGGGACGAAAAUGACGGUACCGCAAGAGGAAGCCACGGGCUAACUACGUGCCAGCAGCCGCGGUAAGAUCACGUGUA